UGGAACCCUGGCAGCGCGCUUUCUUUGGUGCUUUCUUUCUCGAAGCUUGCGACUGGACAGAGCGCUGACAACUCGUGAGGAGGAUCGGAAUCGGAAGAGUGGCCCAGUCUCAGACGUGAAAGGGGUCAUUGUUGCGGUGGUGUCAAGAAGCCAUGCAGCAGGGACAUAGGUGACCUCUCGUAUACGGUGUUUGCGAGCGAGCAAUCAUCGACACACUUCAUUCGGGACUGUAGCAUACAGCGAACAUGGCCGUCUCAGCGAACAACGGCUGGGUCGAUUCCUACCUCGAAGCACUGGUACGACUCCAAUUGUGGCUGGCAAUCUAGGUCGUUGUGCAGAUAUGCCUUUAUAUCUCCGGACGUCACGAACAGGACUGAACUGCCUGUGCUUGUUGAAUAUUUUCCAACCAUGUUGUUUCCUUUUAGUGAUUAGUCGUGAUGGUGCAUGGAAGCUGCCUGCCUCUGAACGGCCUGCUGCAUGGGGGUACACAUCAAGUUGUCAGCUUGCUCUUACCGAUUGGUGUGCUUGCAGCUGAGCUAUGGGCUGUCUACGGAAUACUCCAAAAGCCCGGCGAAUGCUAAAUCAGAUAACAUCGACGCAGAUCGGCAAAUAUAUGCCAAGUACUAUGUGUCCCAAAUCAUGCAACUGGGAGAGGAGGGCAUCCGGGAUGCUUGGAGCAAGGC
rnacentral:lncRNA from 1 species